AUGAACGCUGGCGGCGUGUCUAAGGCAUGCAAGUCGAGGGAUCGGCUUGACGUAGCAAUACGUUGAGCACGGACCGGCAGACGGGUGAGUAACACACUGGUAACCUACCUCCGAGACGGGAAUAGCUCGCCGAAAGGCGGAUUAAUGCCCGAUGGUCAUGCGGGGACGCAAGUCAUUCGCAUGUAAAUGAGUCUCGCUCGGAGAGGGGCCUAUGGCUGAUUAGCUAGUUGGUAGGGUAAUGGCCUACCAAGGCUAUGAUCAGUAGCAGGCGUGAGAGCGUGACCUGCCUCACUGGGACUGAGACACUGCCCAGACACCUACGGGUGGCUGCAGUCGAGAAUCUUCCCCAAUGGACGAAAGUCUGAGGGAGCGACGCCGCGUGCAGGAUGAAGGCCUUCGGGUUGUAAACUGCUUUUGCACGGGACGAAUUUGUGACGGUACCGUGCGAAUAAGAGGUUGCUAACUCUGU
rnacentral:rRNA from 1 species